UGCUGGAUCAUUUGGAUCUGUGAGGAAAGGAGACUGUAUUUGCAGCUUCGAUUCAGCAAUAUGAGCAGAUUGCUGAUGGCAUAGAGAAGAAGGGCCACAAAUGGGAUUCAGAGAAUAGCCAUGCUACAAUAAAGAAGCUGAGGAAGGGGCAAGAGAGUCUAUGUUUCGCUCUAGUGUGGUGCUGAAAAUGCUUGCACCUAAUUUAUUGUGAGACCUAUGAGAUCACAGUUUCUGGUGAGCUGAAUGAUAAAACAUUGCAAGUGUGUUAGCAAAAUUUGGCAGUGAGCCAGUCUUUGUAUGUUUACUUUGAAGUUCAAGUCAUUCUAAACUGCAGUCUCCAAGACUGACAUUGUGUCACCUCCCAGACUCCAGCCAAACCUGGCUUUUUAUAGCGAGAAGAUUUCUUAAAGCUAUCAGAAGAAUUUUGUUCUAAAAAAAGUCUUGCCUGCUGAUUGAUUUAUGCAAAGAGCCCCUUCUCAGAACACACACUUCAGUGGAGGUAGUACAUUCUCUAUGGACACAUUUUGCCUUCUCCUGCCUAGGGUGGGAAGAGACUCUAGGCAACUCCCUUGCAGAGGGACAGCAAUACAUGCUCCCUGAAUAUGGGCAAUGGGCAAAAAGCAGAGUCAAACUGUUCAAGUGAAACUGAAAACUCCAGUAAUGCGGGAGUAGGCUCUUUUACAUACUUCUACACCACCUAUCAUCUUAUUGGAGAGAAAAGCAAUUGCUGAUCCAUGAUCCUCCAAGGAUAAAAUCAUGCCUGCUGUUGCUGCUCCUGAUCCUAUCCAAGCUACAUUCUAGCCCAAAGCUGGAGUUCUCUCAUUUGACGUUUGAAAAGCAAAAAAAGGGGACUUUUCAAACUUUUAACUACAAGGACGCUUCCAAAGUACAGCUCAGAAAGCUGAAAGUUUAAAGAUUAAAAAAUAAAAGCUUUUCAGCGUGAUUAAACUGCAGCGAAUUUUGCUUUCAUCUUAAACAUAAAAGUAUGUUUUGAUGGCUAAAAUAAUAAAGCACAUUGGAAAUUGCUUUAUAGUUUCUUACGUACGACUUUCAUAUUUCAAGUACUGCAAACAAGGGGCCCAAAUCUUUCUCUCAUUGAAGCAAAUUAGUGAUUACUACUAAUGGAAUCAGACCCUUUGUCAGUUAUUCACCUCAAAAUGGCUUCCAAAAAACAGUAGGCUCAGAAGUGGCAUUAAAACUUUUCUUUGAAAUCUGUUCCACAUUGUAUUCAUGCUGAGAAAGAUUGCUUCUCUUUUGAAGCUCUAGACAGCUGUGGUGAGCAAGAGGAAUAUAAUUUUCAUUGAAGAGAUAAAUAUAUGAAUAUUUCUGAUUAUCUGGAGAGGAUCUGGGAGAGCAAAUGAAUAGCUCCUUAGCUGAGGUAUGCAAGACUACUGAAUACAGUCUGACUACAUUAGGCAUGAUGGUAUGGUUCACAUCACUGGACUGCAAUUUAUCAGAACAAAAGUCCAAUUUACACAUAUUCUCCAGUGGAACAGGUAAAAUGAGGACCGACAGGUCUUUUAGUUGCUAAACAUCUUUUAAAUUGAUAUAUUCUGUUUCCGCAGUUAUUUUUCCAUGCCCAAUGAUAUGCCAGAAACAGAACUGUGCACUAAAUCAAGUCUAAAGGCUUGAACACUUUCAUUCCCUUCCCACCACAUUGCUUUGGGAGCUUUUGUAAUUUUCUUCUGCGGACUCAGUAGCUCCUCCAUUGAGGUUUGUUUGCUUCACUUUUCUAGGCUUUUAACAGAAGCUCUGUGGACAUCUUGAAGCAAACUGCCUGCCCCUGUGGUAUUCUCAAAUAACUGCUCAGCAUGUUGAGCAUUGUUUGUAUUCCCCAACUAAACCAGAGACCAUGGAACCUAUUAAUAUGAAAUAAUGGAAGUGGUAGGAGAAUGUCUAUGUGAAGAAGAAAAGAGUGAUAAAUAGGAAGAGGUGAUUAAGCAAGGCUAACAUGAAAGGACACAUUUUUCAAAAAGUUGUGCAGGGAUUUAAAUAUGUUAUUCCCAUAAAAGUCAAUAUAAUCACAGAGACACUGAAAGCAAAAUAACAAAAAUAAAAUCAGUCAGCAUAAUCACAGCAAAUAAAACAUUGAUCUUCUAUCUCAAAUAGGCCUCACUUUGUGAUUCUAGUGUCCUUUUCUAUACUGCUAUUCUUUAUUUCACAGAAGUUAUUCAGAUUAAAUGCCAGAUUCUUCCAGCAAGUUCUAAAACAGUGAGUUUCUUCAAAGAAAAACAAAUAUUUAGAAGUAACACUUUUAUGUUUUCAUCCGAGAUCAUCGAGCUUUCUGGGGCUAUGUCUACACUAAGUGUUGUGCUGGCAGAGGCAAUGCAA